rnacentral:rRNA from 1 species
GGGAAACUACGGCUAAUACCGCAUGAUGCCUGAGGGCCAAAGACGAAAGUCGUUUGAGGAGGAGCCUGUGUCUGAUUAGGUAGUUGGUGGGGUAAAGGCCUACCAAGCCUGCGAUCAGUAGCUGGUCUGAGAGGAUGAUCAGCCACAUUGGGACUGAGACACGGCCCAAACUCCUACGGGAGGCAGCAGUGGGGAAUAUUGGACAAUGGGCGCAAGCCUGAUCCAGCAAUGCCGCGUGGGUGAAGAAGGUCUUCGGAUUGUAAAGCACUUUUGGCAGGGACGAUGAUGACGGUACCUGCAGAAUAAGCCCCGGCUAACUUCGUG